rnacentral:rRNA from 1 species
UACGGAAUGGGCUAGCGUUGUUCGGAAUUACUGGGCGUAAAGAGCGCGUAGGCGGCUUACCAAGUUGGGGGUGAAAUCCCGGAGCUCAACUCCGGAACUGGCUUCAAAACUGGUAGGCUCGAGUCCGGAAGAGGGGCGUGGAAUUCCCAGUGUAGAGGUGAAAUUCGUAGAUAUUGGGAAGAACACCGGUGGCGAAGGCGGUGCCCUGGUCCGGUACUGACGCUGAGGCGCGAACGCGUGGGGAGCAAGCAGG